UUACGGCCACAUCACGUUGAAACAUCGGUUACCGCACGAUCACCGAAGUUAAGCAACGUCGAGCCUGGCUAGUAUAUAGAUGGCUGACCGCUUGGUAAUACCAGGUGCUGUCAG